CGUCAUUUGAGAAAACAUCGAUUAAAGUUACGUCACAAAAAAAAUGGUGGACGUUACCACGUGUUCGCGGCAAUUAAUGCAUUUCUUGUUUUCAAUAAUACUCUACCUUGCCACAAGAAAAAAAUGAAGUGACAUUUAUAAACAUUUCCGUGUUUUGCAAUUCCGUUUCUUUAAAACAUUUAAAUGACUGAUAAUUUAUCGCCCUUUGAAUCGACACGCCAUUUGUAAACAUCGAAGGUCGCGGAGAAAAUGAAACUACCAAAAACAAUUAUUUGAUGAUUUAUUUCGAUUGUAUAAAGAAUGACAGUUAGCGAAUCUCAAGAUCAACCACUGAGGAUUGUUUGGCUUGAUGCAAUGACCUUAAACAGUGAAAUGAUUUUCCAGGAAGGUCUAUACACAACAAGCUGGAUUUUAUGGGGAUGAAAGAAUGAAACAGAAGGAAUUAAUAUGUUCUACUGAUCAUCCAGCUGAAAUCAUGCCUGUGGAAUAGAGUGCAUGUCACAAAUGCUGAUAUGAGCAAAUAACUCCAUAUUGCACAAAUAAUGUCAUGUUUCCUGCCCUCAUGACCUGAAAAAGUUAAAAAUUCUAGUUCAAAUUACAAAUGUGUUUCAAGAAAAAGUAAAACUUAGUCAACUGUGAGAAAUAUUGGGUAAAAGUAGUGUUUUGAUGUCAUGACAGUUGUGAAGUGGUUUGAGAAGCACUAUCUAAAUUGUUCUAACAAUACAGAAUUUAACAUAAAUUUUCCAAAACUGCAUGCAUGAAAUACUAAGACAUGUCUGUUGAAUGAAUCCUGGUUGUUUCAAAACUACAACAUGUGUGACAUUAAAGCACAACCUUUGGAGGAAACAUUUUUACAAUAAAAACUGCCUUGCCAGUGUGAAUGUAGGAAGGAGUUUUCCAGAAAUGGCAGAAAACUACCAAUAUAGCAGAAAAUAUUUGUUACUGGCUGAAUAUAAUAUAUUUUAUUUCAAGAAUUAAUCAUGGUAAUCCAUGGUUAUAAUUGUGUUAAAAGAUAUUUUUACAUGACAUGACCUUUGCAGAAAUAGCUAUUUUUUUGCAAAACAUUGUGAAUUGCCAUGGUAACAGAAAUUUGACUUAAAUAUAGAUUUGUUCGAUUAUGUAGACAGCAUGUGUCUUCUUUAUAUUCUGCUAAUCAGACUAUGUUCUGCAAGAAAAUAUCUUUUAUGUGUAACCAUCAACAAAACAUGUCAUAACACAAAUCUGUCAUACAGUGGCAGAGCUGUAAUGCAGGUAGGCAUAUCAGGAAAAUAUGUAGUUCUGAAAGACAAGUUAUAUUACAUAAAAUGAUGUUUGUUUUUUAUAAAUGAUCAUAAUUGACCAGUUGUGGUGUAAAACAAAUGUAUACUGAACAGAUGCUAAAUGAAUGUUCUGAUUCUUUCUGGAAAAUUUACAAAAAACUACUAUUUUAAGAAAAUAGUGUAUUGUUGCCAUGGUAACAUUAAUUUAACUUUUAAAUUAUUUUGGAUAUCAUUAUAUGUAAACAACAUCUUUCUUGUUUAUAUGUUAUAUAUGUUAAGCUGUAUUAUGUUAGUGAAUAUAUUUUCAUAUGUAAUAAUUGCAUCAACAAAGCACUAUGUUAUUACACAAGCCUGCCUUAAAAUGGCAAUAGUUGUAACUGAGAGAGGUGUAUCUGAAAAUUAUGUAUUUCUCAAACCAUAUUACAUUAAUUUUCACGGAAUGAUGUCUACUCUCUUACUUUUAAAUAAGAAAACAGACAGCUUUUGAUGUAAAUAUAUGGAAAAACACUUCCAAUAUUCAAUUUAUUACAAAGAAAUUGCCAAAAAUGUUAGUAUUUUUGUAAGGAAAUACCACAUUGUUGCCAUGGUAAUGUUAGUAUUUUUGUAAGAAAAUACCACAUCGUUGCCAUGGUAAUGAUUCACUGAUCAGUAAUCUAAGUCUUUUGAAAUUUUAGCAAACUCACAGUUGAUAAUAACAGUCUAAUAAUUAUAUUUUCUUGCCUGAUAUUCUUUCUUACUGUUUAAUAGAUAAAGUGUCUAUAAUAAUAAGAUUAAUGUCCUAGUUUUUGGGAUGUUGUCUAAUUUGAUGUCAAAUAAAUUCUGUAUCUUGUUCAAAAGAAUGUCAUAAAACAGUUGUCUGUAAACUGUUAGCACACUAGAAAAAGUUAAUUGUGUAUUUAUUUCACAUUCUAUGUAAUUUAUUGCCAGAUUCAUCAAAAAACUGUUAAAAAAGAGGUUAAACAACAGUGUUGCUAUAGAAACGAUUUUUAGAACACAAAUAUUUUUAUACUACAUGAAAGAAAGAGACAAAAAGAAAUACAUUCCAUUAAUUGCAUGUUGCUUUUGUUAUUUUAUCAUGUAUUUUAUCUUGAUAUUAUUAAAAUAUGGUGUCAUUAUUAAGAUA